UACGUAUGUUACAAGCGUUAUCCGGAUUUAUUGGGCGUAAAGCGAGCGCAGACGGUUAUUUAAGUCUGAAGUGAAAGACCUCAGCUCAACUGAGGAAGGGCUUUGGAAAAUGGAUAACUUGAGUGCAGUAGAGGAAAGUGGAACUCCAUGUGUAGCGGUGAAAUGCGUAGAUAUAUGGAAGAACACCGGUGGCGAAAGCGGCUUUCUGGACUGUAACUGACGUUGAGGUUCGAAAGUGUGGGUAGCAAACAGG
rnacentral:rRNA from 1 species